UGGGGAAUAUUGGACAAUGGGGGCAACCCUGAUCCAGCCAUGCCGCGUGAGUGAAGAAGGCCCUAGGGUUGUAAAGCUCUUUCAGCGGGGAAGAUGAUGACGGUACCCGCAGAAGAAGCCCCGGCUAACUCCGUGCCAGCAGCCGCGGUAAUACGGAGGGGGCUAGCGUUGCUCGGAAUUACUGGGCGUAAAGGGCGCGUAGGCGGGUAAUCAAGUCAGGCGUGAAAGGCCCGGGCUCAACCUGGGAACUGCGUUUGAAACUGGUUACCUUGAGUGUCAGAGAGGGUGGUGGAAUUCCCAGUGUAGAGGUGAAAUUCGUAGAUAUUGGGAAGAACACCAGUGGCGAAGGCGGCCACCUGGCUGACUACUGACGCUGAGGCGCGAAAGCGUGGGGAGCAAACAGG
rnacentral:rRNA from 1 species